AGUUGGGUGUUUGAUCUAUUUAUUUUUAAUUUUUUGCUGGGCUUUUCACUUCAGUAUCUGGGGUUGGUUGUUUUCUAUUUGUUUUUUACCUUUCUGUUUUUGUUAGUUUAUCGGCCGGGUAGCGAUGUUUUCUGUUUGUAGUUGUUGUCUUUCUCUAGCAUUUAAAAAAAAAAAGAAAAGAGAAAAGAAAGGAAGCAUGGUAGGAAUCCGAAUUUUAGAAGUUGAAAGAUGAAGAUAAAAAAUGGAUGUCGAUGUUGAAAAUUGCAGUCUUCAAUUGUAGGCUGCGUUUUGGAUGGGGCGUGAUCCAAAAGUUACAUUCGUCUGAUUAUUGUGAACUGUUGGCUGUCAAAUGGAUGGGUGUGGUUACUAGUCCAAUUUGAAUGGGAAAUGGCUGAUGAUUGGAUGGUUAGGAUUGUUGGAUGGCAUUAGGUCGGUCCAAUUUGUGGGCACUAUUAUGGUUGGGGUGUGGUCCAAAAAUUUCAUUGAUCUAAUGAUCCUAACCAUUUGAACUUUGGCCAUCAAAUGGAUAGACAUGGUCAAUGGUCUAAGUAUGAUGGCAAAUAACUGAUGUUUGGACAGUUAUGAUUGUUCGACUUCUGUGAUUUUUGGGCCAUGCUUCAUAAGAUAUCCAUCCGUUUGGAAUCAACAUAGAACGUACGCUAAUUUAUCUUAAGCAUGAUUGGUGGACUGGCGUUUCUUGCAUAUUCAAAAAUCUUGCUUUCACUUCAACUGCAGUUCAAUACUGUCUAUUGUAUGAUCUAUACCAUCUCCUCGAUCGAAUUCUUCCGGUUGUUGAAGUGAGCUCCUUCCAAAAGGCCAUGGAAUUUUCAUCGGAACAAUUUGCUUCACAGUAUGCUUUGGAUUUGAAUUUAAAGCAUAGACAGUGAAUCCACAUUGUUUUGUCUGCUAUCGUUUUUUUAAUUAUUUUAAUUAUU